UAAGGAAUAUUGCUCAAUGGGAGAAAUCCUGAAGCAGCAACGCCGCGUGGAGGAUGAAGGGUCUAUGACUUGUAAACUUCUGUAAAGAAGGAAAAAAUUCCCAUUAGAUGGGAGAUGAUGGUACUUCUGGAGUAAGCCCCGGCUAACUACGUGCCAGCAGCCGCGGUAAUACGUAGGGGGCAAGCGUUGUCCGGAUUUACUGGGUGUAAAGGGUGCUCAGGCGGAUUUGUAAGUCAGAGGUGAAAUCUUACAGCUUAACUGUGAAACUGCCUUUGAUACUGCAAGCCUAGAGUAUGGAAGAGAGUGAUGGAAUAUCUGGUGUAGCAGUGAAAUGCGUAGAUAUCAGAUAGAACACCAAUGGCGAAGGCAGUCACUUGGUCCAUUACUGACGCUAAAGCACGAAAGCGUGGGUAGCAAACA
rnacentral:rRNA from 1 species